AUUGAACGCUGGCGGCAGGCCUAACACAUGCAAGUCGAGCGGAUGAAGGGAGCUUGCUCCUGGAUUCAGCGGCGGACGGGUGAGUAAUGCCUAGGAAUCUGCCUGGUAGUGGGGGAUAACAUCCGGAAACGGGCGCUAAUACCGCAUACGUCCUGAGGGAGAAAGUGGGGGAUCUUCGGACCUCACGCUAUCAGAUGAGCCUAGGUCGGAUUAGCUAGUUGGUGGGGUAAAGGCCUACCAAGGCGACGAUCCGUAACUGGUCUGAGAGGAUGAUCAGUCACACUGGAACUGAGACACGGUCCAGACUCCUACGGGAGGCAGCAGUGGGGAAUAUUGGACGAUGGGCGAAAGCCUGAUCCAGCCAUGCCGCGUGUGUGAAGAAGGUCUUCGGAUUGUAAAGCACUUUAAGUUGGGAGGAAGGGCAGUAAGUUAAUACCUUGCUGUUUUGACGUUACCAACAGAAUAAGCACCGGCUAACUUCGUG
rnacentral:rRNA from 1 species